UACAGCCACAGGUCUCUGGCCAGAGAUCGGGCCAUAGUAAUCGAGGAACAAGCCUGAGCCUUCUGCCAGCUUCUUUCUGCUUUCAGAGGCGCAAGAGAGGAUGUGGAAGAACUACGACAGGAGGCUCCAGAGACUACUAUCGCACCAGAAGGAACAAACCAGCUAUGUAUGAUUCUGGCUUACGGAUCUGUAGAAACCAUGAUUGGAGAAACUUCUUCAGGAGAUGUUUUGUCUCUAGAGUGAUGCUGCAAGCCAGAAAUAUUGUAUUCUAAUGCUUUCCUCUACCCCACCGAAUAAAUUCCAGUUUUGCCAGAAGAGAUGGCAUGUAUA